AUUGGUCAAUAUUCCAGGCUUGAACAUAUAUAAAAGCGUUAGAGACUUCAUAACAAGUUGAAAACUUAAUGGCCACUUUAGAUAUAGCAAGAGAAUUAUUUUGAUAAAUAAAAUAGACCUAUCAUAUACUAAAGCUGCUCACCACCACUCUACUAUCUAAAUAUGUGAAAAAAUAUAUAUAUAUAUAUAUAUACAAAAUAAAUAUUUUAUAAAGACACACAUAUAUAUAUAUAUAUAUAUAUCAAUUUUAUAAAAAUAUUUAUAUAAAUUUGCAUAUUUAAGAGAAUAUUUAUAAUUUUUUUUUAAUUUUAAGUGUAGUAACCAUUUUUAAUACAACAAAAUUGAUGGACAGAAGGAAGAAGAUCAUUAUUUUUUAAAAUUAAUUUUAAAUAAUUCUUUGUGUUCCGCAUUUCUCUUACAAAAUACACAUAGUGAUGGAUCCAUGGGAGCAAAAGUAAAUUUUCUGUUUUUUUUAAAAAAAAAAAGAAAAAGAGCACCCGGUUCUAUCACUUUCGAAUCAAAACAUGGGAUUUCGAAACCCCGGCGGUGAGGAGAAAAGCUAUGUGGUUUCUUCUCCAUUCCAAAUUAUGAAGUCACCCCAACUUUACACAUAAGUUGGAGCAGCAAAAGUAAAAUUUCUAUUUUUUUUAAAAAAAAACGAGCAUCCCAUUCUAUCACUUUCAGAUCAAAAGAUGGGAUUUCAAAACCUUAGCUGUAGUCCUCUACUCCUAUGCAAGUCAUGGAGUGACCCC
rnacentral:lncRNA from 1 species